rnacentral:miRNA from 1 species
UCAAAAUCGUUGGCAAUGGCA